CAGAACCUUACACACCAUCUUGACAACAAACAAAAAAAAUGGAGACAUACUCCACAGGGAAGAAGUCAGAUUCUGAACCCCAGUCGUUACUGAAAGGAGGAGAAGCCAGUACAUUGUGGUUACAGGUUACUGUGAAUGACGACAUGAACCAUUAUAUGCUCACCACAUGCUUGCUGCGCUACCUACACCCAUAUUACCAAUGUUGUUGUUAUUACACAUUUUUAUUUACAAUGUUGUAAUUUAUUGUAAAAACAAAAUGCAAUGUUUAGCUAUUACUCAGGACAAUAAUAAAUCCCAUUGGCUAUUUAGCCAUUCUAUAUCCAGAUAUUUAAAUAUUUCUACUGUUACAUUGGUCAGCGUUAGAAUGCAUUCUCAGUGUGGUGCUUCGGUUAGUUUUGAGACUACUAACCCUUAGCCUACUAUUCAAUUGAUUUACUUUAAAUUGAAGGAAUGUAUUUAUUCCCUUUAAAUUCAGGUUGUAUGCUGAUUCUGUAUUUUUCUACUUGAACCAAAUAGUAAAAUAAUCAUAUUUGGAGGA